AAUAAAACGAAAAACGGUUAUUACAUUACAAUAUUGCACACAUACAUCUAUAUAUUUUUAGUUAUGCUCUGAUUAGUAUGUGUCGAUCGGCAAUAGGGUCGUGCUGAUUUAACUGGAUACUCUCGUCUAGUAUAUUCAAAGUACCGUUUCCGAACUGGCUCAAUCAAACUUAGCCUACAACAUUUUUUCAAUUUUGUUGUUUUGGACGUUCUUACAAGGAAAUAACCCUGUAACGUUGAAAAAGGCUGCUUUUUGUUUGACAACGGGAAGAAAAAAACACGUUUAUUCUAAAGCUUUGAAAACAUGCCAGUUGAUAUUUAC